CAGACCUACUCAGAUUCAAAUCAUUUAGAGCUCGUUUCGGAAUGUACAAAGGUUCAGGCUGGGGCUGUACUGCGAGCUCUACAUCAAACCAUUCCAAUUUACUUUGGGCUUACUUUAGAAAAAGGAGCUAGCCGAUAGUUACCUUGGAGUUGGACUCCGAGUUCAAACAAAGCAUUUUCAUAACCCAAUUUUUUUUCUUCAAACACAAAUCAAAGGGAGAAAAAAGAAUGAAAGUGGAGGGUUCAUCGAAGAAGAUGAUAGCAACACAAGCAGAGAUGGUGGAGAACAAGGUCCACAUCCCGUACAGGGAUCAAUGUGCACAUCUUCUCAUCCCGCUCAACAAGUGCCGCCAAGCCGAGUUUUACUUACCUUGGAAAUGCGAGAUUGAACGCCACUCCUAUGAAAAGUGCGAGUACAAGCUCGUCAUGGAGAGGAUGCUGCAGAUGCAGAAGAUCCUUGAAGAAGAGGCCAAAUUGAAACAGGCUGGAAAACAGGGCGUUUCUGUUCCUCUCAUUCCCAAAACUGCUAAUGCUUAAGCUGGGUCCAGGGUUGUUCUUGUCUAAUGACUCGAAAUAUGGUGGGGGGAUUCUCGUAGUGAGAUUCAGAACAACAUGCAUUCUGGAUAGCCCCCGUAGAUGGCUUUGAGAAGGUUUAGACAGCUUUGGUGGAUAUUUGAUGUUUGUCACCUGUCUGGGAGAAAUUUGAAACUGUUUGUUGUGGACGAAUAUAUAUUUGUAACAAUGGUUUUCACUUACCCAACUAGGUAAAUAUGCUUCAGGUUGGUGUUUAUUUACUUGCAAGAGAUAUACAAUGGAUAUGCUAUUUGAUCAAUGGGGGCAAACAGAUCAUGGCUUUAGCUAACAA